AUUGAACGCUGGCGGCAGGCCUAACACAUGCAAGUCGAGCGGAUGAAGAGAGCUUGCUCUCUGAUUCAGCGGCGGACGGGUGAGUAAUGCCUAGGAAUCUGCCUGGUAGUGGGGGACAACGUUUCGAAAGGAACGCUAAUACCGCAUACGUCCUACGGGAGAAAGCAGGGGACCUUCGGGCCUUGCGCUAUCAGAUGAGCCUAGGUCGGAUUAGCUAGUUGGUGAGGUAAUGGCUCACCAAGGCGACGAUCCGUAACUGGUCUGAGAGGAUGAUCAGUCACACUGGAACUGAGACACGGUCCAGACUCCUACGGGAGGCAGCAGUGGGGAAUAUUGGACAAUGGGCGAAAGCCUGAUUCAGCCAUGCCGCGUGUGUGAAGAAGGUCUUCGGAUUGUAAAGCACUUUAAGUUGGGAGGAAGGGCAGUAAGUUAAUACCUUGCUGUUUUGACGUUACCGACAGAAUAAGCACCGGCUAACUUCGUGCCAGCCGCCGCGGUAAUAC
rnacentral:rRNA from 1 species